GGACAACGCUAAGAAAUAAAAAUGAUUUGUUCUUUUGAUCUUUUCUUACAUUAUUUCUGGAGCGAGAUCGGCCGUUUGGGGUAUUGAUUUUCUCACCUCAGAGAAAAAUAAAUUUGAGUGGAAUAUAGAACAUGAGGAAAUUCGUAGAAAAAUUAUUCACAUUCUUACUAAUAAACCAGUUUUGAUUAUCUUUGACCCGCAAUAUCCAAUAGAGUUCCACACCGAUGCGAGUGCAAUCGGAUAUGGUGCUAUACUCUUGCACAGAAUUGAAAAUAAACCGUAUGUAGUGGAAUACUACAGUAAGACAACAAGUGUAUGCGAAUCUAAAUAUACUUCGUAUGAGUUGGAAACUCUUGCGGUGGUAAAUGCAGUCAAGCAUUUCCGGCACUACUUACAUGGCAGAAAGUUUGUAAUAUUCACUGAUUGUAAUUCUUUAAAAUCAUCACGAAAUAAGAUUGAGUUGUUGCCUAGAGUCUAUCGCUGGUGGGCUUAUUUACAGACAUUCGAUUUUGACAUACAGUAUAGAGAAGGCAAGCGUAUGGCUCAUGCUGAUUUCUUUUCCAGAAAUCCACUUCCUCCGGAAAAUUCCCCUGAAUAUGCGAAAGUUGUUGAAAAGCGAAUCGACUUAACUGAGGAUUAUCUGAGGAUUGGAUUUGUGCAGAGCAACAGAAAGAUCAAGAUAUCGUAGAAAUCGUUGCCAAGCUGAACAAUGAUGAAUGUCCAUUCGAUUUGGCUAAGACAUAUGAUUUGAGAGCUGGAGUUUUGUAUAGAAUCAUACAAAGAAAUGGCAAGACCCUAUGUUUGCCAGUGGUGCCUUGUGGAUUUAGAUGGUCAGUUAUUAACCAAGUACAUGAAUCCAUAAUGCAUCUGGGCUGGGAGAAAACACUUGACAAGGUUUACGAUUACUAUUGGUUUGAGGGCAUGGCCAAAUACGUUCGAAGAUUUGUUGAAAAUUGUAUAACCUGCCGAGUGUCCAAAUCAUCUUCUGGAAAAUUACAAAUGGAAUUACAUCCUAUUCCCAAAGUAAACAUUCCGUGGCAUACUGUUCACAUAGACAUAUCAGGCAAGCUUAGUGGUAGCUAGCUCAUACACGAGGGCGUGUAAUUUAUCAGAAUGGCCGUGUCGGAGAAGGGAAUGAUAUUUUGAAAUAGGCGCCCUAUCGAUGGUCAACUGUUCACGAGACGUAUUGAUAGGACGAGUUGUAAUCGAUUGUGAGAUUUCAAUAACAUUGAGAUCGAGUGUGGCCCUGAUAGUGUGUGGCCGUGCGUUUCUAUCGAGAAGAGAACGAGGAAAAGCACACACACGCAGCGGCAAGAAUCAAUAAGAGGAAAACUACAGGGACACGCUUCACAAUUUGGAUUAAGUCUACGCUCCGUCAUAUUUAUAUCUGUGUUAAUAAUUAAUUUUAUGUAAUAUAUGUAAUAAUCGGAACACAGGGAACACCACGGGGAGGAUAUUACAAUUGUAAUGGGGUCCUAUAUUUAUAUGACCUUUGAGUUUAUUUUUCACUCAACGCAAUUGCUAUUUGCGCUUAUAUUUUCGUACUUUAAUAUUGCAACAAAAC